AUUGAACGCUGGCGGCAUGCUUUACACAUGCAAGUCGAACGGUAACAGGGAGCUUGCUCCGCUGACGAGUGGCGAACGGGUGAGUAAUGCAUCGGAACGUACCCAGUCGUGGGGGAUAACGUAGCGAAAGUUACGCUAAUACCGCAUACGUCCUGAGGGAGAAAGCGGGGGACCGUAAGGCCUCGCGCGAUUGGAGCGGCCGAUGUCGGAUUAGCUAGUUGGUAGGGUAAAGGCCUACCAAGGCGACGAUCCGUAGCGGGUCUGAGAGGAUGAUCCGCCACACUGGGACUGAGACACGGCCCAGACUCCUACGGGAGGCAGCAGUGGGGAAUUUUGGACAAUGGGCGAAAGCCUGAUCCAGCCAUUCCGCGUGCAGGAUGAAGGCCCUCGGGUUGUAAACUGCUUUGUACAGAACGAAAAAGACUCUGGCUAAUACCUGGAGUCCAUGACGGUACUGUAAGAAUAAGCACCGGCUAACUACGUGCCAGCAGCCGCGGUAA
rnacentral:rRNA from 1 species